AUUGAACGCUGGCGGCAGGCCUUACACAUGCAAGUCGAACGGCAGCAUGAACUAUCUUGCUAGAUUGAUGGCCGGUGGGGAACGGGAUGGCUAGAAAUCUGAACGUUCGUGGUAGUUGGGGAUAACUAGUGGGAAGAUUAGCCAAAUCCGCACACGGGCUGAGGGUGGAAGUGGGGGGGCCCUCGGCCUUAUGGCUUAGGAGCGGCCGGAUUCGGUUGUGGUAGGUGGUGGGGUAAAGGCCCACCAAGGCGACGAACAGUAGCUGGUCUGAGAGGACGAUCAGCCACACUGGAACUGAGACACGGCCCAGACUCCUACGGGAGGCAGCAGUGGGGAAUUUUGGACAAUGGGCGAAAGCCUGAUCCAGCCAUGCCGCGUGUGUGAAGAAGGCCUUCGGGUUGUAAAGCACUUUUGUCCGGAAAGAAAUGGAUCAGGUUAAUACCUGGCGUUGAUGACGGUACCAGAAGAAUAAGCACCGGCUAACUACGUG
rnacentral:rRNA from 1 species